UCCAGACUCCUACGGGAGGCAGCAGUGGGGAAUAUUGCACAAUGGGGGAAACCCUGAUGUAGCAACGCCGCGUGAGUGAAGAAGUAUUUCGGUAUGUAAAGCUCUAUCAGCAGGGAAGAAGAUGACGGUACCUGAGUAAGAAGCCCCGGCUAACUACGUGCCAGCAGCCGCGGUAAUACGUAGGGGGCAAGCGUUAUCCGGAUUUACUGGGUGUAAAGGGAGCGUAGACGGUGAGACAAGUCUGAAGUGAAAGCCCGGGGCUCAACCCCGGGACUGCUUUGGAAACUGCCUGACUGGAGUGCUGGAGAGGCAAGCGGAAUUCCUAGUGUAGCGGUGAAAUGCGUAGAUAUUAGGAGGAACACCAGUGGCGAAGGCGGCUUGCUGGACGAUGACUGACGUUGAGGCUCGAAAGCGUGGGGAGCAAACAGGAUUAGAUACCCGCGUA
rnacentral:rRNA from 1 species